CAUGCAAGUCGCACGAGAAAGGGCUUCGGCCCCGGUACAGUGGCGCACGGGUGAGUAACACGUAGGUAAUCUGCCUCCGAGUGGUGGAUAACCUCCCGAAAGGGGGGCUAAUACAGCAUGAGACCACGGCUUCGAAAGAAGCAGAGGUCAAAGCGGGCCACUUCAUGAAAGCUCGCGCUCGGAGAGAAGCCUGCGGCCCAUCAGCUAGUUGGUAGGGUAAUGGCCUACCAAGGCGAAGACGGGUAGCUGGUCUGAGAGGAUGAUCAGCCACACUGGAACUGAGACACGGUCCAGACUCCUACGGGAGGCAGCAGUGGGGAAUCUUGCGCAAUGGGCGAAAGCCUGACGCAGCGACGCCGCGUGGGUGAUGAAGGCCUUCGGGUUGUAAAGCCCUGUGGGGAGGGAAGAAUGAGUUCGAGCUAACAUCUCGAGCGAUGACGGUACCUCCUUAGCAAGCACCGGCUAACUCUGUGCCAGCAGCCGCGGUAAGACAGAGGGUGCGAACGUUGUUCGGAAUUACUGGGCGUAAAGCGCAUGUAGGCGGCCGCGCAGGUCGGGUGUGAAAGCCCUGGGCUCAACCCAGGAAGUGCACUCGAAACCGCGCGGCUCGAGUCCCGGAGAGGAAAGUGGAAUUCUUGGUGUAGAGGUGAAAUUCGUAGAUAUCANGAGGAACACCGGCGGCGAAAGCGGCCUUCUGGACGAGG
rnacentral:rRNA from 1 species